rnacentral:lncRNA from 1 species
GUGGCUGUGGUGUAGCCGGGCAGCUGCAGCUCUGAUUCGAUUUUAAGCCUGGCAACUUCCAUAUGCUGCCGGUGUGGCCCUAAAAAAAAAAAAAAGAAAGAAAAAAAAAGCGAUAAGUGAUUGUGAGGUCUAUUGAGAAACUACAAAAAACAGUGAUAUCUCUGUUGCUUUUAGUUCUUUCUAUGAAGGAAGAAGAGAUGAGGGAGAGAGAGAGUAAAGAUGCCCAUGCAGCCUCAGGUCCUAAGAGCAUCAUCCAACAAGAUGAACAGGAUCCGCCCCUCCAACGCCUUCCUGGGACAGUCCAGCAGGACAGCAGCUCUCAACAAACACAUCUGCAUGUUUCAUUAUAAUCGAGUGAGAAGAACACGUUUGGGUGAGAAAUAUGAAGACAAUGGGAGAAAGAAAAGAGAAUUUCUGCGUCUCAGCUAUGACAUUGGUGCUGAGCCUGCAGACAAAAUACCUGGAUGAUGUGAGUAAUGCUCUUAGAUCAAUGUCUGGGAAAUAGGAGUUCCCACUGUGGCUCAGUGGUAAAGAAC